rnacentral:rRNA from 1 species
UGCGUAGGGGGCGAGCGUUACCCGGAUUUACUGGGCGUAAAGCGCGUGUAGGCGGCUGGUCAAGCGUGGUGUGAAAUCUCCGGGCUCAACCCGGAAACUGCAUUGCGAACUGACCUAGCUGGAGUGCAGGAGAGGGCAGCGGAAUUCCCGGUGUAGCGGUGAAAUGCGUAGAUAUCGGGAAGAACACCAGUGGCGAAGGCGGCUGCCUGGCCUGUAACUGACGCUGAGACGCGAAAGCGUGGGUAGCAAACAGG